GGUUGUACGUUUCAAAAUAAAAAACACUAACAAAUGUAAUGAGAGUAGUACUUUUAUUUUGAAAUUAAAAUCUCUUCAGCCCUGAUCGCGUGAAGGCAAACUCACUGGCUAACUUGACACAGUUUCUUGUAGCUCACUAUGGUUACCGUAAUCCAAAUUCACCUGUUUUAUGGGGCUUCUCGACUGCCCCAGUAAAAGAAGUCCAGUAUUUUCCCUUCUGCCACAGUUGGUCUGCCUAAGAUGAGUGAUGUGCCUCAUCACCUCCAUGACCACAACUACUGGAGGAGAGAGCCCAGCAGGAGCCAGAGCAGCACCAACACCAACAGGGUAAAACACCCAACUUUCCCACCUGGGAUAAAAUGUUCAUUAGGGCUGAACAAUUAAUCAAAAUAUUAUCGAAAUCGAAAUAUGGGCAAGUGCAAGAUACAAAUCGCAGGAACUGCAAUUUUUUUGAUAAAGGUAAAAUGUGUCACAACAGACCAUAAAUGAAGCACUGUGGUGUUACAGAGAUGGCCCGGCCUACAAAUCAAAUUCGAGAGGGAACAUGCUUGGUUGGUAUAAGCCCCAACAGUAACACAUCAUCAUUAUUUAACAAUUUGACAAUGAAAUGCACAAAUGACCUGAAAUCAGAUGAAAUCGUGACUCAUGAUUUUUCGGUAUAUCAUUCAGCCCUAAUGGUCUUUUAGGGUUGAAGGAAAAUCAUCACUGUGGUGUUAUGU